AUUUUUUGAAGGUUUUAGGCUUAAAAAUGGUCGAAUUUUUAGAUUUUUUUCAUAUUUUGGAAUUUUCCAGCUUUUUGACAUUUUUGGCUUAAAAUAGGCC
ensembl:snoRNA Y110A2AL.20 ncRNA